rnacentral:rRNA from 1 species
UAAAAACCCCGACUUCGGAAGGGGUGUAUUUAUUAGAUACAAAACCAAUGCCCUUCGGGGCUCUUUGGUGAUUCAUGAUAACUAUACGAAUCGCACGGCCUUGCGCCGGCGAUGGUUCAUUCAAAUUUCUUCCCUAUCAACUUUCGAUGUUUGGGUAUUGGCCAAACAUGGUUGCAACGGGUAACGGAGGGUUAGGGCUCGACCCCGGAGAAGGAGCCUGAGAAACGGCUACUACAUCCAAGGAAGGCAGCAGGCGCGCAAAUUACCCAAUCCCGACUCGGGGAGGUAGUGACAAUAAAUACUGAUACAGGGCCCUUUCGGGCCUUGUAAUUGGAAUGAGUACAAUUUAAAUCCCUCAACGAGGAACAAUUGGAGGGCAAGUCUGGUGCCAGCAGCCGCGGUAAUUCCAGCUCCAAUAGCGUAUAUUAAAGUUGUUGUGGUUAAAAAGCUCGUAGUUGAACCUUGGGCCUGGCUGGCCGGUCCGCCUCACCGCGUGCACUGGUCCGGCCGGGCCUUUCCCUCUGUGGAACCCCAUACCCUUCACUGGGCGUGGCGGGGAAACAGGGCAUUUACUGG